rnacentral:rRNA from 1 species
CGGGGUGAGUAAUGUCUGGGAAACUGCCUGAUGGAGGGGGAUAACUACUGGAAACGGUAGCUAAUACCGCAUAACGUCGCAAGACCGAAGAGGGGGACCUUCGGGCCUCUUGCCAUCGGAUGUGCCCAGAUGGGAUUAGCUAGUAGGUGGGGUAAUGGCUCACCUAGGCGACGAUCCCUAGCUGGUCUGAGAGGAUGACCAGCCACACUGGAACUGAGACACGGUCCAG